AGAAGAGAACCCAGAUCAGAGCAGGAGACUUUUCACCCUGCAGGUGAACGCUGUCAGCAUGACACUUGCUAGCUGGCUGUGGGCAGUCGUGGUCUCCACCUGUCUUGGAUCCAGUGUGGCCCAGACAGUCACUCAAUCUCAACCAGAGAUGUCUGUGCAGGAAGCAGGGACGGUGACCCUGGACUGCACAUAUGCCACUAGCGACAGUAAUUAUUAUUUGUUCUGGUACAAGCAGCCUCCCAGCAGGCAGAUGAUUCUCAUUAUUCGCCAAGAAGCUUAUAAGCAACAAAAUGCAACAGAGAAUCGCUUCUCAGUGAACUUCCAGAAAGCAGCCAAAUCCUUCAGUCUCGAGAUCUCAGACUCACAGCUGGAGGAUGCUGCGAUGUAUUUCUGUGCUUUCAUGACAAAGAAAUCCAACUAUCGGUUGAUCUGGGGCACUGGGACCAAGCUAAUUAUAAAGCCAGAUAUCCAGGACCCUGACCCCGCCGUGUACCAGCUGAAAGACUCUAAAUUCGGGAACACCUCCCUCUGCCUAUUCACUGAUUUUGCUUCUGAAGCAAAUAUGUCCCAAGUCAAGGAAUCUGAAGUGUUCGUCUCAGAAAAAACUGUGCUGGACAUGAGGUCCAUGGAUUCCAAGAGCAAUGGUGCCUUAGCCUGGAGCAACAAACCCGAUUUUGCAUGUGCAGACACCUUCAAGGAGGACAAAGUCUACUCCAACUCAGAAUUUCCCUGUGAUGCCACGUUGGUACAGAAAAGCUUUGAAACAGAUAUGAACCUAAACUUUCAAAACCUGUCAGUGAUUGGGCUCCGCAUCCUCCUCCUGAAAGUGGCCGGAUUUAAUCUGCUCAUGACGCUGCGGCUGUGGUCCAGCUGAGGUCUGCAAGACCAUAGGAGCCCGUGCUCCCUCACUCCCUGCUCCGCAUCGCCCUCCUCCCCCUCUUCCCGCAGAGGGAGUGCUCCCAGUCCAGGAGAAGAAGACUCCCACCUCCUCUCAGGGCCCCUGCAAUGCCUCAGACAAGAUCCUGCCUGAAUUAGUGACGAAGGUUGCUGAGGAGCUGCCAAGCACUGCUGCCCUGUGCUCUGUCCCCUGUUGCUGCUUGUCACUGCCUGACACCCACGGCAGGGGCAGGGCUGCUG